rnacentral:rRNA from 1 species
AACGAACGCUGGCGGCAGGCCUAAAACAUGCAAGUCGAACGCCCUAGCAAUAGGGAGUGGCGCACGGGUGAGUAACGCGUGGGAACGUGCCCUUCAGUACGGAACAACGUCGGGAAACUGACGCUAAUACCGUAUAAUAUCUCCGGAUCAAAGAUUUAUCGCUGAAGGAUCGGCCCGCGUCUGAUUAGCUAGUUGGUGAGGUAAUGGCUCACCAAGGCUACGAUCAGUAGCUGGUCUGAGAGGAUUAUCAGCCACACUGGGACUGAGACACGGCCCAGGCUCCUACGGGAGGCAGCAGUUAGGAAUAUUGGACAAUGGGCGAAAGCCUGAUCCAGCCAUGCCGCGUGUGUGAUGAAGGCCUUAGGGUUGUAAAGCUCUUUCGUUGGGGAUGAUAAUGACCGUACCCAAAGAAGAAGCCACGGCUAAAUUCGUGCCAGCAGCCGCCGUAA